rnacentral:rRNA from 1 species
GCGUUAAUCGGAAUUACUGGGCGUAAAGCGUGCGCAGGCGGUUUUGUAAGUCAGAUGUGAAAUCCCCGAGCUCAACUUGGGAACUGCGUUUGAAACUACAAGACUAGAAUAUGUCAGAGGGGGGUAGAAUUCCACGUGUAGCAGUGAAAUGCGUAGAGAUGUGGAGGAAUACCAAUGGCGAAGGCAGCCCCCUGGGAUAAUAUUGACGCUCAUGCACGAAAGCGUG